UUUAACUUUCUUAACAACUCCUCCUCCACUGCCAAGUGUCCUCCUUCGGAACCUUUGUAGUUUGGUCUGGGAUGGCAUCCCCAGUCGCACUUGUUUUUUUUCAGCUGUGUGAGUGAUUUUAAACAGGUCUCUAG
rnacentral:snoRNA from 1 species